CCAAUAGCGUAUAUUAAAGUUGUUGCAGUUAAAAAGCUCGUAGUUGAAUUUCGGGGUUAGUAGGUUGGCCAUGCCUCUGGUAUGUACUGGUCUCACUGAUUCCUCCUUCCUGAUGAGCCGUAAUGCCAUUAAUUUGGUGUUGCGGGGAAUCUGGACUGUUACUUUGAAAAAAUUAGAGUGUUUAAAGCAAGCUAACGCUUGAAUACAUUAGCAUGGAAUAAUGGAAUAGGACGUUCGAUCCUAUUUUGUUGGUUUCUAGGAUUGACGUAAUGAUUAAUAGGGAUAGUUGGGGGCAUUAGUAUUCAAUUGUCAGAGGUGAAAUUCUUGGAUUUAUUGAAGACUAACUACUGCGAAAGCAUUUGCCAAGGAUGUUUUCAUUAAUCAAGAACGAAAGUUAGGGGAUCGAAGACGAUCAGAUACCGUCGUAGUCUUAACCAUAAACUAUGCCGACUAGGGAUCGGAUGAUGUUAAUUUUUUAAUGACUCAUUCGGCGCCUUACG
rnacentral:rRNA from 1 species